CAUGGGAAGAACCUGCCACCUCUGCCAGCUGUGCCAGAAAACUUCUUUCCUGAAGAAGUCGUGUGUGAUUGAUCUCUGAAGCAACUGCUGAGUUACAAUCCCACAAAAAACAUGGAAUUGCUGUCUGCUCGUGUUCUCUGGAUUCUGUACCUGGCAACAGUACCUCAGCCCAUCUCUGCGUGAAUCCGGUCCAGCUCUGAAUAUCUCGAACACUAAGCACACAGAAAGAUGACUUAGAUGUUUAGGAUUUCUCUUCACAAAGCAGAUGAUACAGAUGCUCAGGAAGAUUCAGUGAAAUGGUAGUGUAAUGAUAAAGAUUUGAUUGUGCUAGUCCACCAGUUUGUGAACUUUAAGGAAAAUACUUCAGAAAUCACAGCUUGGGAUUUCUUCCCUACUUUUCAAGAUUAUUUUAAACUGUGCCAUAAGCAGAGGGAAGAUCUCCAGCAACAUAACUUUGCAGUAAGAAAAUGCCUUCAAGCUGUCCCAGAAGACAAGGGCUUUACACAGAGAUGUGUCCCCAAUGUACAGAUCCAUGGGGUUCAUGCCAAGAACAUGGAAAAAUCCUUCUACUACUGCCCUGCUGGCCACCUUGGAGUACAGAAAGCAAGCAACCAGCUUAUACAACUGCAAAAUCUACUUAAAAGAAGGGAUUAUCAUGUUCCUUCCUCUCUGGGGAAAGGGAGAAAGACUGACCAGGAAAACAUGACUGAUAGUAAAUGUUUUGGGUUUUUUUUUUAAAUAAUUAAAUAUCUUACAUUCCCAUAAUCACUGCAUUGUUUUAGGAUCUCAGAGGUAACAUUCAGAAAUCAUGACUGAUAGAAAUGGUAAAAAAUUAUCAAAUCUGUUACAUUUCCAGAAUCACUGCACUUUUUAUAAUCUCACAGAAUGAUAACAUUCCGAAAUCAUGACUGAGAGUAAAUGAUAUAAAAAAAAAUGCAGUGAUUCUGGGAAUGUAAGAGAUUUAAUAAUUUUUUAAUCUCACAGAUACCAUUCAGAAAUCAUGACUGAUAGUAAAUGGUUUUUUUUAGAAAUGAUUAAAUCUGUUACAUUCCCAGAAUUUUUUAAUCUCACAGAAACAUUCAGAAAUCAUGACUGAUAGUAAGUGAUAAAAGAUGAUUAAAUCUGUUACAUUCCCUGAAUCACUGCAUUUUUUUAUAAUCUCACAGAUAAUGUUCAGAAAUCAUGACUGAUAAUAAAUGGGUUUUUUUAAAAAAAAAUGUUUAAAUCUGUUACAUUCCUGUAAUCAUUGCAUUUUUUUUAUACUCCCACAGGUAACAUUCAUUAUUCAUGACUUAUAGUAAAUGAUAAAACAUGAUUAAAUCUGUUCCAUUCCCAUAAUCACUGCAUUUUUUUUAUGAUCUCACAGAUACCACUCAGAAAUCAUGACUGAUAGUAAAUGGUUUCUUGAAGAUGAAGUCUUUUACAUUUCUGUAAUCCCUGUGUUUUUUUAAGACUACCUCCAUAUAUGUUUAAUCUAUGAACACUAAACACGUUUUGCAGUAGUUUAAAAACAGUUCUGUUGAGACUUGCUGCAGUUUUUAAUGUAACUGUAGAUACCUAAUCUAGUGUCAUUUCUGUGUCAUGCUGAUGGUGCUAGAAGAGCCUCUGGCACUUUUCUGAAAAGGCACCUAUUUGGGUUUAAAAUGAGUGUAUUUGAGGUCAUUAGGAAAGGAAAUUUCCAGCACUAAUUCUGCCCUACCACAGGUUUUAGCAGAAAGAACAAACCAAAGAACAAAAGGAAACCCAACAACUGUGUUUGAUGAAUCCAUGUGCAAUAUUUUUGUUACAGUGAAAUAAAACACCAGACACCUUGAA